AGAGAAUUCCGGCAGUUUCAGGUACACAGAGAGAUCCUUCAGGAAAAAGCUAACUUUCAGAGCACCAAAACCAAACUGUAGGGUGAGCUCGGCCCCCCGCCUGAUUUUGAGCACGGCCCUCCCGCAAGGUACAAAGGGUCUGUCCUCCCACACUGUUGGUCUUGUCACACGUGUGCUUAUUAUUAGGGUUGUUCUGAAAUUCUGACUACUGAUUUGAGAGAUGUGGAAAACCCUCGUGCUGUGUUUUAUCAUCCUCUCCUCUAAAAAUAAUUCUGGACAUUGACACAGGAAGGAUGACCCACAGCUGGGGAGAAUAUUUUGUUGUAAAAUCAUCUGUUUCUCUUACUUCGUGUCUGCUUACCUCCUGUCUCUGAAGUGGUCGUGUGGACUGUGGUUAAUUUAUGUCUAGGUCUCUGUUCUCCAUACGUGUUCUCAAGAUAAAGGAUGCUUGCUGAAUGUCCUGACACGCACCGGCAGGAGAUUUUGCAGGUCAGGCAGAGAUGAGACUCGAUGGCAACUCUUUCACUCUUUGGAACAUUCUGCAACGAAUCACACUGCAGCCUCCGUCCAAACAGUUUAUAAGCUAAAUAAGGAGAGAAAAUUCUGGAAAUUAUAUAUAAAAAAUAUAUAUAUAAGAAGGCUCAAAAAAUUGAAGAGAGGAAGGCAGACCAGCCAGGGAUCUCAAGACCCAAGGAAUGACAUGAUGGGAUAGGAAGAUGAGUCAAAUAUAAUCUGGAGAGCCACACAUGAGAAGAAUAACAAUGGGAAAAUGGUACAUGACAAAAGGGGCAUGAAGGUAGCCUGGGAACAGAGGAGGAAGCACUUCACUGUGGAGUCUUCAGGGCUUUGGACCUAGAAGAAGGCACCCACUUCUUUUUCUAGAAGUGGGGUAGAGACAUCAAUCAAAAGCCAUGGACGCAGACAUUAAAGUAAUUUUGGCAUUUUCAGAGGUACUGAUACUGAUGAACUCUUGUUACACCAUCCUCAGAAGAGGCAGAUGGCCCACCUGACCUGUUGGUCCCAAGAAGAGGAUGGGCCACACGUGGGGUAAGCCUACCCCGGCAAACAUUUAACAUGAAGCCAAACCAUCCUAGCUGACUCAGAAAGCCAUGAACAAAAAAUAAAUGUUUAUUGCUGCAUACCACUGAAAGAUUGAGAUUUGUUAUGCAGCAGGAGUCAACUGCUACAUAUAUCUGACAUGAGCCUGUUACUGGGCAUAUACAACCAUUAGCAAGAACAUAACAUGACUGCUUAUAAUGCAUUGGGAGAAAAGUAUACAAUAUAAACAACAUUAUUAAUAUAUAUGGUAUCAGUUGAUUUUUUGAUUUGAUGAAAAGAAAAUCAAUAAAGAAUAGAAAAUGGCAUGUGAGAGGUACAUCUUUGAUUGCUAAUAAAGUUGAAUAUUUUGUAUUUUCCUUUCUCAAAUUUGCCUCAAUGUGAUUUUUGAAUUUUUCUUUAGAGUAUUCAUCCUUCUCUAAUUUUUAAUUAUUUUUUAUGUGUUACUUAUAUUUAUGUAUUAAAUAUUUAUAUACAUUGGCUAUUGUAAAUGUUGCAAAUAUUUUUCCUAAUUUGAUUAAGAUUUUAUAUUUUGUUAAAUAGAAAUUCCUUAAGUUGUAACUUAACAGUCUUUUGUUCUAUGCUUUGCUGCAUGUUUAGAAAAUGUUUGCAUUUCACUUUUUACAUUUAACGUAAAUUGCCAGUGAUUUAUUUUGGUAUAUAAUGCAGGGGAGGAUAUUAACUCUACCCCCAACCCUGCCAAAAGCUUUCAUUAACAAUGUUUAAUGAAUUCAACAUUUCCCAGUUGAAGUAAAAUGUUGCUACUCUCUAUGUAACAGAAAUCAGGUGACCUGCAUUUUUAUUGUUGUAUAAUAUCUAGCCAGUAAUAUCCCUCCUUGAUGAUAUGAAAUGAUAUUAAGAAUUAUGUAUGAAAUUACUUUCAGUGAAAAAAGCAGGUAAUGUAUGUAACACAAUAUGCUCCUAUGUCCUUAUGCCCCUAAUUCUAUAAAAUCAAUACGUAUGCAUAAACACAUGUGAGGAAGAUGAAAGAAAAAUUCAAAAUAUUACUGACAUGUAAUUCUGAGUGGAUAAAAAGAUAAUGGAUACAUUUUAUUUCUUUUUCACUGUUUUCUAUGUUUUCCAAAUUAUCUACAGUAGACAUAUAAUACUGCUAUAAUUAGAAGAAAAACUGUUUAUGAAUAUUUUUUUCAAAAGCUAAAACAAGACUCCAAUAACUUGAAAAGUUCUAUUAACUAGAAAUUCACAUCUAUUUGUUUGUGCUUUAGAUAAAAGAACAAAUCAUUUGUUGAUUUUUAAAAAAUUGAUUACCAGAAACUUCAUUCAGCUUGCCCUUAGCCUAUUUCCUUCCCUCUUUCUUUGGAAAGUCAUCUCCCAGUUAUCUUACUGCUAUUCUUAGAAGUGAAGUUGAUUUUUUACCUUAAGUUUAGAUAAUUCCCAAUAUCUUCCAAGACAUGAGGCAGGACUAAAUGUACCUGUCUAAAAGGAAUUCUACUCCUUGAUUAGAGAAAUAAAUUUAUGUUAAUAUUCCUAUUCCCCUUCUAGAGAGGUUUUCUGUAGACACAGAGAGAGCUUCUAUACUUGAAGGGAAGUUGGGCUCCAUGGCUUCUGAGGAUCCAUCCAGUCCUAAAGUUGGAUAAUUCUUAAAUUAUCAAGAGAAUGUAUAGAGUGGGCCAGGGGUUCAGGGGCUCACUUUUGAGGGGAAAUUUGAAUCUGGGAAAAGAUGUGUUUACAAAGUGGGCGGAGAACACUUGGCCCCCUUGCUCCAUCCCAGGUACACAUCUUGACACAUCUGAGGUUAGGAAGUAAUAAGAAAUAGGAAUUAACUAUGGCCUCUCCUGCCACAUGUCAAAGUUAAUUCUACUUCAAAUGAGUCUUAAUUACGCCAGUGAAGUUUAGGGUUUAAUAGAACCUGUUCACUGAAACUGUAACUUUCAUUAUAAGGACUAAGAAAGAUGUAAAAUCAAGUUCACUUUAAAUGUUGUGAACUUAAUUUGAAGCUGUAAUAUUAAUAGUUGAGGCAAAAAACUCUACAUCUCUCUUGUAGAGUGGUUGGCUCAUUGGCAUUUCCUAUCUGUGAAAAUACUUACCCUAGGGAAAACCAAGAUCUUCAAAAUGAUAUUAGGCUCUGAUUUUCUGAACUUCAUGUACUCAAUUCUUGUACUCAUUUUUUUCAAAUUUAUUCUUUCUGUGGAGGAUAUACAACUUAGCAACCUUGUAAACUAUUUUUUUCUAUGACUAGAAAUCACCAAUUUAAGAAAAAAAUUGAUAUUGAAAUAUAGUUGACAUAUGGUGUUGUAUUGGUUUCAGGUGGACAAUAUAGUGAUUUAACAAUUCUAUACAUUACACAGUGCUUACCACAGUAGGUGUAGUUACUAGCUACAUACAACACUAUUACAAUAUUACUGACUAUAUUCAGUAUACUUUUUAUCCCCAUGACUUAUUUUCUACCCGGAAGUUUGUACCUCUGAAUAUCUUCACCCAUUUUACCCAUCUCCCACCUACCGUGCAUCCAGCAACUACCAGUUUGUUCUCUGUAUGUAUUUAUUUAGAUUUCACAUAUAAGUGAAAUCAUAUGGUAUUUGUCUUUCUCUGACUUAUUUCACUUAGCAUGAUACCCUAUAGGUCCAUUCAUGUUGUCACAAAUGGCAAGAUUUCAUUCCUUUUUUAUAACUAAUACUCCAUUGUAUACAUAUAUAACACUUCUUCUUUAUGCAUUCAUCUAUUAAUGGACCCUUAGGUUGCUUCCAUAUUUUGGCUAUUAUAAAUAAUACUGCAAUAAACAUAGGUUUGGAUAUAUCUUUUCACUUUAGUGUUUUUGUUUUCUUUGGGUAAAUACCCAGGAGUGGAAUUACUGAAUC